rnacentral:rRNA from 1 species
UACGUAGGUGGCAAGCGUUGUUCGGAAUUACUGGGCGUAAAGGGCUCGUAGGCGGCCAACUAAGUCAGACGUGAAAUCCCCCGGCUUAACCAGGGAACUGCGUCUGAUACUGGAUGGCUUGAGUUUGGGAGAGGGAUGCGGAAUUCCAGGUGUAGCGGUGAAAUGCGUAGAUAUCUGGAGGGACACCGGUGGCGAAGGCGACAUCCUGGACCAACACUGACGCUGAGUGAGCGAAAGCCAGGGGAGCAAACGGG